rnacentral:ncRNA from 2 species
AAUUACCACUAGGGGAGCCUAAUUUGGCUGAGAAUAAAGCAUUGCUUAGACCCUUUGAACCUGAACUGUGUAAUCGCAGCGUAGGGAAGUGGCCAUCAUUUUAU